rfam:Myotis lucifugus cont2.48285, whole genome shotgun sequence.
GCCAGUGUGGCUCAGAGGUUAGAGUGUCAGCCCGUGGACCGAAGGGUCAUGGGUUCAAUUCCCGGUCAAGGGCA